rnacentral:rRNA from 1 species
UGUUGCUUGCAAGGGCGUAUGGUGGAUGCCUUGGCAGACAGGACCGAUGAAGGACGUUUGAGGCUGCGAUAUGCCUCGGGGAGCCGCCAACAGGGCUUUGAUCCGAGGAUUUCCGAAUGGGGGAACCCACCGACCGUCAUGGGUCGGUACCGGCUUCGGCCGGGGGGUACGCAGGGAAGUGAAACAUCUCAGUACCUGCAGGAAAGGAUAUUCCGUGAGUAGUGGCGAGCGAAAGCGGAUGAUGGCCAAACCUUGCGCGUGUGAUACCCGUCGGGGGUUGCGCGCGGGGUGUUGCGGGAUCGCGUGCGCCGGCUCCGACGGGCCGGCCGGCAGUUGCAGAAAACCAUGUGUCAGGGGAACCGGGUUGAAUACCGGGCCGCAGAGGGUGAGGGCCCCGUACCUGAACGCGCAUGGUCUGCCGAUCGCGUCUCCCAAGUAGCACGGGUCCCGUGGAACCCCGUGCGAAUCCGCCCAGACCGUUGGGUAAGCCUGAAUAUUCCUGUCUGACCGAUAGCGAACGAGUACCGUGAGGGAAAGGUGAAAAGUACCCCGGGAGGGGAGUGAAACAGUCUCUGAAACCGUGCGCCUACAAUCCGUCGGAGCCCUUUUGUGGGGUGACGGCGUGCCUAUCGAAAAAUGAGUCUGCGAGUCAGUGGCAUGUGGCGAGCAUAACCCGUGUGGGGUAUGCGUAGCGAAGGCGAGUCUUAAAAGGCGUUUGAGUCGCGUGUCCUGGACCCGAAGCGGGAUGAUCUAGCCCUGAGCAGGUUGAAGCGCGGGUAAGACCGCGUGGAGGACCGAACCCACCUGGGUUGAAAACCGGGGGGAUGACCUGGGGCUAGGGGUGAAAGGCCAAUCAAAUUCCGUGAUAGCUGGUUCUCUCCGAAAUGCAUUUGGGUGCAGCGUCGGGUCAUUACGUCCCGGGGGUAGAGCUACUGGAUGCUUGCGGGCCCGUAUCGGGUACCAACAGCAACCAAACUCCGAAUACCGGUGACGCGUAUCCCGGCAGUGAGUCGGCGGGGGAUAAGCUUCGUCGUCGAAAGGGAAACAGCCCAGACCGUCGUCUAAGGUCCCGAAGCGUGUGCUAAGUGGGAAAGGAUGUGGAGUCGCAUAGACAGCCAGGAGGUUGGCUCAGAAGCAGCCAUCCUUGAAAGAGUGCGUAACAGCUCACUGGUCUAGUGGUUCCGCGCCGACAAUGUAGCGGGGCUCAAGCACACCACCGAAGACGCGGCAGUAUUUUGUACUGGGUAGGAGAGCGUCCCAUGAGGGGCGAAGCGGCCGUGUGAACGCGCCGUGGACUUCAUGGGAGUGAGAAUGCAGACAUGAGUAGCGAGAGACGGGUGAAGAUCCCGUCCGCUGGAUGACCAAGGGUUCCAGGGCCACGUUCAUCGUCCCUGGGUGAGUCGGGUCCUAAGGCGAGGCCGACAGGCGUAGUCGAAUGGAUGAACGGGUCGAUAUUCCCGUACCGGCUUUCAGCCGCCAAAACCGAGGCUUGGAGUACUAACCUCCGGGUCCGGGCUUACUGCUCCUUCGGGGGCGGGAUGCCUUGGCCUGUUGGGACCGAUCCUUGUAGUAGGUCAGCGCAGGAGUGACGCAGAAGGGUAGCCGGCCGCGGAGGUGGUCUUCCGUGGUCAAGCACGCAGGGCGUGGGACAGGCAAAUCCGUCCCGCAUGGGUCCGAGGUGCGAUGAUGGGGGCCUUAUGGCCCGAUAUCCGGUGAUCCCGGCUGCCGAGAAAAGCUUCGGCGUCAGGCUCAAAGCCGCCCGUACCCCAAACCGACACUGGUGGUCAGGUAGAGAAUACCAAAGCGAUCGAGCGAAUCCUGGUCAAGGAACUCGGCAAAUCACUCCCGUUCCUUCGGUUUAAGGGAGACCCCCGAUGGUGAACACACUUGCUGUGGGAGCUUUUGGGGGUGGCACAGACCAGGGGGUAGCGACUGUUUACCAAAAACACAGGUGCAUGCGAAGGCGCAAGCCGCUGUAUAUGCACUGACGCCUGCCCGGUGCCGGAAGGUUAAGAGGAUCCGUCAGCCUUCGGGUGAAGCGGUGAAUUCAAGCCCCGGUAAACGGCGGUGGUAACUAUAACCAUCCUAAGGUAGCGAAAUUCCUUGUCGGGUAAGUUCCGACCUGCACGAAUGGCGUA